UUAAUUGAAGCCAAAGUCUAGAGGCUUUUCAUUGUUAAUGAAAACACUGAUUAGAUUAUAAUCCAAUUAAG
rnacentral:tRNA from 1 species